GGGUAUGGGUUCUCAGUGCGUAGCAUCAUGCCCUGAGAAACCCCGAUGUAUCUGAUGUUCACCUAUAGUCGGGUGGCGGCUGGUCGGCGCUGUGGCGCCCGUCAGAUCGCUGAUCCGGUGCGGAGAACUUCGGAGAAGUUGGUGGGCCCAUAUCUGUCAAGACCACUCACCUCACCUUCACGUGGGGCUCCCCGUCACCCUGCAUCGGUCCCGACCGGGGUAGGGUGCGAAAGAGUGAGUGGCACCAAGGCGAGAGUAUGGCUCGUUAACCAUACGCCAUAAAACAAAUAGAUGAUGAAGAUGAUGAUGAAGAUAAUGAUGAUAUGUCGGAAAAUAUAAAUAAUGAAGUUUACGGUGCAGGGGCGGGAUACCCCAGUAGCGGCGCAGACGUGGGUGGACAAGCGGGCCCCGCUGUGUCGUUAGCUUGUGACCGUGGCCGGAUGGGGGUGGACCACCAGGCCCCCAUCCAUGUUAUCACGACUGAAUACAGACUCUGUAAGCUAUAACUGGAUCGUGUUACUCCUUAACAUCAGUGAGGUAUUGGCAGACUUCAUCCUGGUACUGCUUAACUGCCACUUUUAUUCAACUUUGUAUCCGAGGGUGCACAGCUGUUUCCAAAUAGAGACAAUCGACGACGUAGGAAACAAUGAUGAAAUCGAGAUGCGUGACAUGGUCCAGCAGUGGGUCGCCCGACACAGCGAGAUGCCGGGUAUUCAACCGCCUUGCUUGGAACGUAUAUAUUAUCAACAAAUAAAGGACGCGAAAUAUAGCACACUCUUCAACAACAAAACAAGAUAAAUAUAAUUAAAGUAAGUACAGGCGAAAAUACUGCGGAUAUUUUUACGAAGGCACUGUGUAGAGAGAAAUUUGAAAGGUUUAGGUCAUGGAUGAAUGUAAACUAAGAGGAAUGUAAAUAAAGUAAUAAGGUUUAAAGGUUCUAUUAAGUAAUUCGACAAAUCAUGUAAAUCCGAUAAGCAGUCGUUAAGAAGCAUCUGGAAGAGUCGGUUGACAACAAGCGAGCGUGCGAGUAGGUUUACGAGGUCUUCAGAGUAUAACAUAUGUGUAUAACUGUUGUGUGUUGAAUAAAGUGAACUAUUUGAAUUUCCGAAUCCCUUCUAUAUCUUUACACUAAGUUAUUAAAUUCAUAGUUUAAUAAACAGGAUAUAUACAA